CCUCGGCACAAACUGAUGCAAAACCAGCAAUCUGGGUCCACCGUCAACCCCGACGGCACCCAACAGUCUGAAACAGCCUAGACACUGCUGUAAAAAUAAGCUCUGCAUCUCCGCACGAGCGUAACUGCAUUCUACACUAUUCCGAAUAUGCACUACCAACAAACUGCGGUGAUACAGAUCUACUACAGCUCCUAAACUUUCAGCAUAUCAAAUGCACACAACAGUGUGGAUACUAUCCGCGACAACUCCCG
rnacentral:lncRNA from 1 species